rnacentral:rRNA from 1 species
UACAGAGGUGGCAAGCGUUGUUCGGAAUUACUGGGCGUAAAGGGCGAGUAGGUGGCCAUCUAAGUCAGACGUGAAAUCCCCCGGCUUAACCUGGGAACUGCGUCUGAUACUGGACGGCUUGAGUAUGGGAGAGGGAUGCGGAAUUCCAGGUGUAGCGGUGAAAUGCGUAGAUAUCUGGAGGAACACCGGUGGCGAAGGCGGCAUCCUGGACCAAUAUUGACGCUGAGGAGCGAAAGCCAGGGGAGCAAACGGG